rnacentral:rRNA from 1 species
AAGCACCGGCUAACUCCGUGCCAGCAGCCGCGGUAAUACGGAGGGUGCAAGCGUUGUCCGGAAUCAUUGGGCGUAAAGAGUUCGUAGGUGGUUUGUUAAGUUUGGUGUUAAAUGCAGGGGCUCAACUUCUGUUCGGCAUCGGAUACUGGCAGACUAGAAUGCGGUAGAGGUAAAGGGAAUUCCUGGUGUAGCGGUGAAAUGCGUAGAUAUCAGGAGGAACAUCGGUGGCGUAAGCGCUUUACUGGGCCGUAAUUGACACUGAGGAACGAAAGCCAGGGUAGCAAAUGGGAUUAGAUACCCCAGUAGUCCUGGCCGUAAACGAUGGAUACUAGGUGUUGCGGGUAUCGACCCCUGCAGUGCCGAAGCCAACGCGAUAAGUAUCCCGCCUGGGGAGUACGCACGCAAGUGUGAAACUCAAAGGAAUUGACGGGGACCCGCACAAGCGGUGGAACAUGUGGUUUAAUUCGAAGCAACGCGAAAAACCUUACCAGGGCUUGACAUCUAACAAAUUCUGAUGAAAGUCGGAAGUGCUCUUCGGAGAAUGUUAAGACAGGUGGUGCACGGUUGUCGUCAGCUCGUGUCGUGAGAUGUUGGGUUAAGUCCCGCAACGAGCGCAACCCUCGUCGUUAGUUGGAUAAUUCGGUAUACUGGGUUAUUCCUCUCUAGCGAGACUGCCGGUGAUAAACCGGAGGAAGGUGGGGACGACGUCAAAUCAUCAUGCCCCUUAUGCUCUGGGCUACACACGUGUUACAAUGGCUGGUACAACGAGCGGCCAACUCGCGAGAGUGAGCAAAUCUCUAAAAACCAGUCUCAGUUCGGAUUGCACUCUGCAACUCGAGUGCAUGAAGUCGGAAUCGCUAGUAAACGCAGAUCAGCACGCUGCGUUGAAUACGUUCCCGGGUCUUGUACACACCGCCCGUCACACCAUGGAAGUCGACCACGCCCGAAGUACGUGAGCUAACCGUAAGGAAGCAGCGUCCUAAGGCAGGGUUGGUGACUGGGGUGAAGUCGUAACAAGGUAGCCGUACCGGAAGGUGUGGCUG